rnacentral:tRNA from 1 species
GCCUCAGUAGCUCAGUGGCAGAGCGCGUCCUUGGUAAGGACGAGGCCGCGAGUUCAAAUCUCGCCUGAGGCU